UUUGGUAGAGGUUGCGGGCUUCAUCAGUAGCCACCCCCACACGGUUCGGGAAACCGGGGGCGCGAAAGGGAAGACCGCCGAAGCGAAAGGCUCCCCCGAGAGCAUUUACGCUGGGACGCAGCAGAAUAUGCUGCGGACUGUCACAGAAACUGUGGAGAGCUAUCGGU
rnacentral:ncRNA from 1 species